CACGCGCGGUGCGGGCGGGCGGUGCGGCGCAUGCGCGGUGCGGGCGCGGCCAUGGCGGGCUCGGUGCGGGCGGUGGCGCGGCGCUUCCUGUCCGAGUACGGCGGCGGCACCGCCGGCCGCCUCAAGGCGCUGGACGCCUUCCUGCUCUACGUGCUGCUCACCGGCGCGCUGCAGUUCGGAUACUGCCUCGGCGUCGGCACCUUCCCCUUCAACUCCUUCCUCAGCGGCUUCAUCUCCGCCGUCGGCAGCUUCAUCCUGGGCGUUUGCCUGCGGAUCCAGAUCAACCCCCAGAACAAGGGCGAGUUCCAGGGCAUUUCCCCAGAGCGGGCGUUCGCUGAUUUCCUCUUUGCCAACACCAUCCUCCACCUCGUGGUCAUCAAUUUCGUGGGCUGAGCUCUGGGGAGGCUGCCAGGAGAAGCUUUGGGAGCUCCAGGUCCUGGGCUCUGUGAGGCUGAGGUGUUGACCUGCUCCUGAUGGCAAAGCCUGGCACGUGGAAGUGCCCAGCACACUCUCACCUUCUUCCUUGGUGGAGGAAGGAGACACAGGACUCAAGAUUUUUCCCUCAUAGAGUGUCCUGUGGAGGGGUCUGCAGUCUCAUUGUGUAACUUUCCAUCAAUAAAACCCUUUAUGACACUGCA